UAGCAUAUUUGAAACUUGCACAUGCAUCUUGCAUUCAGUAAUUUGGAAUUCUCUGCUUUUUCAAUGUUGUGUUCUAGUUUUAGGUCCACCAUUGCUGCAAUUAGCAUAUAUUUUAUGAUUUUGUUUAAUUUGUUUUGCACUUUUGAAUGGAGCUCUCAGAUUCUUACUGCAAUGGCGUUCAAGCUUUUUGCUCAAGAGAAUGUUGAUGUUGCAGUUAUUGAGGUUAAUCAGUUCUCCCUUAACUUCUUCUGAGCAAUUCGAUGCUAUAUCCUUUGUUGGAUGAUUUCCCAUCCCAUGAUGAUGUUUCUUUUCAUUGUAUAUAGUUCUUGUUAUGAAUUCAAAUAUGUAUUUUGAGUUUCUUUUCCUUAACAAGAAUUGCAAUAGGGCUGUAUUUAGUGAGUACUCUUUAUUUUCAAGUAACAGGCUGGACUGGGGGGAGCACGGGAUGCGACAAACAUAAUUUCUAGUUCUGGACUAGCUGCAGCAGUUAUAACAACAAUAGGGGAGGAACAUUUGGC
rnacentral:lncRNA from 1 species